GGAAAGAAUCCGCUGCCACUAGGACCAGGCGGAAGAAGCAUCCCCGCCGACCCUUGGGGAAGGCCGCCGCGGCACCCCCAGCGCAACCAAUCAGAAGGCUCCUUCGCGCAGCGGCGCGCCAACCGCAGGCGCCCUUUCUGCCGACCUCACGGGCUAUUUAAAGUCCCCUCCAGGGCAGGUGACUGAGGCCGUGAAGGUGGCCAUUGACGUCGGGUACCGCCACAUCGACUGUGCCCAUGUGUACCAGAAUGAGAAUGAGGUGGGGGUGGCCAUUCAGGAGAAGCUCAGGGAGCAGGUGGUGAAGCGUGAGGAGCUCUUCAUCGUCAGCAAGCUGUGGUGCACGUACCAUGAGAAGGGCCUGGUGAAAGGAGCCUGCCAGAAGACACUCAGCGACCUGAAGCUGGACUACCUGGACCUCUACCUUAUUCACUGGCCGACUGGCUUUAAGCCUGGGAAGGAAUUUUUCCCAUUGGAUGAGUCGGGCAAUGUGGUUCCCAGUGACACCAACAUUCUGGACACGUGGGCGGUAAGACAGCCCCUGGUUGGACCUUGUUUUCGUGACUGGUUCCCUCUUCUUCUUAGAAGCAAUCUGCCUGCCAUUUCUCACAUUGCAUUUUGUUAUUCUGUCCCUGUUGUUUGCUCUCUCUUUUUUUUUUUUUGAGUUGGGGUCUCCCUCUGUUGCCCAGGCUGGAGUGCAGUGGCACAAUCUCGGCUCACUGCAAGCUCCACCUCCUGGGUUCACGCCAUUCUCCUGCCUCAGCCUCCUGAGUAGCUGGGACUACAGGUGCCCGCCACCACGCCCGGCUAAUUUUUUUGUAUUUUUAGUAGAGACGGGGUUUCACCGUGUUAGCCAGGAUGGUCUUGAUCUCCUGACCUCGUGAUCCGCCCGCCUCAGCCUCCCAAAGUGCUGGGAUUACAGGCGUGAGCCACCGCGCCCGGCCUGUUUGCUCUUCUUAUCUCAUUAAAGCCAGCCUGGCUUUCGUCUCACUGUCUCUUAGCUUCUGAAAGGUCUAAUUCACUGGCACUGAAGAGUGAGGGCAGGACCCGUUAAACUGGUGCAAACGACACUUCUGAUCCUGUCCUUUCUGGGUUCGUUUCUGCACCACACAGACACUUUUCUCUGUAGGCCAUGGAAGAGCUGGUGGAUGAAGGGCUGGUGAAAGCUAUUGGCAUCUCCAACUUCAACCA
rnacentral:lncRNA from 1 species